UUAAUAAAUACACAUCAGUAAUAAAGAAUCGGGUUAUACCCCGACCGAGCAAAUAAAUAGAAUAUCUGGUGUCCGAUGAUGAAUACUCUACAAAACGUUAAAUACUGGUCGUGGAUGGGCGCGUUUACCGUCUCCACUCUGUUCUGGUGUCAGCUUAUCUGGCUGGCCCUAAACUAAAUCUAAAACCUCGCUGCGGCGAGGUUUUUUGUUUUA
rnacentral:sRNA from 1 species